CCCGCCUUAGCUCAGUUGGUAGAGCGCGAGACUGUAACUGGAUACUUGCGCAUCAGAUUCAAUUCUGACUUGAUAUGAUCUUGAGGUCGCCUGUUCGACCCAGGCAGGCGGGA